rnacentral:misc_RNA from 1 species
AAAUCAAAAGAAAGCACAUGGUUUACAACAUAAAAAACAUGCAAAGCAACAAAGAAACAAAAGACCAAAGUAAUUAAUGAAAAACAAAACCACAACCUAAACAAACCACAAUAUUUUUCAGGCUGUUAUUGAGCAUGUAAGACAAGGAAAAUCACAUAGUUACCUCAUAAGGAGUUAGUUGCACCCAUGAGUGAUAUAAAUACUACCAUUGCUUUAACUUUACUUUUUUGUCAUUAAGCCUUAAUUAUUUUCAUGGUUGUACUUCAACUUCAUGUGUUACUACAAUUAAUAUUAUUAUUUUUAAAUUCUCAUAAUUGUCUUUCCAUUGUUU